CACUGCCUGCACUGUGCGCCGCCCGCCUCGACACGUGGCGCGCCGCCGCCCGCGCCGCCGCCGACCUGCUGGGCGCGCAGCCCGACCUGCUCACUCUCUAGAUUCGCAGCUGGUCUUCGAGAGUUCCCGCUAUUAAUAUUACCCAUAGAUUAAUGUAUUUGUAACAAACCCGACUAAUGUCAUGUUGCUAUAAAAACAAUAAAACAACAUAACAUA